GCAGAAGUGGUGGAAUUGGCAGACACGCUAGGUUCAGGGUCUAGUGGGCGUACGCUCGUGGGGGUUCAAGUCCCCCCUUCUGCA
rnacentral:tRNA from 1 species